rnacentral:lncRNA from 1 species
UCUAGACAUCGAAAACUAUUGCUAGAUGGUAUCUCGAUUAGUACAAGAAUCGGUUCCUGUGCUACCGGCUUAGUGUUUGAACCUAUGAAGUCACGCACACAAGUCAGACACCGUAAGAAAGAAUUGGCCUAUGUUUAUAUGUCCAAUUUAGAAGUACUUAACUUGAUUGAACAUAUAAGCUAACUUGAUUGAGAAUUAAGUUAUGGAUCAAACAGAAUUA